GGUUCCAUUGCUCAGCUGGUAGAGCACAAGGCUCUUAACCUUGUGGUCAUGGGUUCAAGCCCCACGAUUCA
rfam:Triticum aestivum genome assembly, contig: Triticum_aestivum_CS42_TGACv1_scaffold_328349_4BS